AGAGUUAGUGAGGUGGUUGCAAGGUAGGCUUUCCUGUGAGCUUAUCUUGAGGAAAGUCCGGACUCCCGAAAGAUCAAACUUGCUGGGUAACGCCCAGUGCGUGUGAGCGUGAGGAUAGUGCCACAGAAACAUACCGCCUUUAUGAGAAUAAAGGUAAGGGUGCAAAGGUGCGGUAAGAGCGCACCAGCAGUAUCGAGAGGUACUGGCUCGGUAAACCCCGGUUGGGAGCAAGGUCGGAGGAAUAAAGGUUGAUCUUUUCCCUAUUCCGCUUCUGGUGUACCGCUGGAGGUGUUUGGUAACAAACAUCCUAGAUAGAUAACUGCCCCUUAUAUUUUUUUGAUAUAGGGAACAGAAUCCGGCUUACGUCUAACUCUCUUU
rfam:Cyanobacterium stanieri PCC 7202, complete genome.